CGGACGGGUGAGUAACGCGUGGGUAACCUGCCUUAUACCGGGGGAUAACAGCCAGAAAUGACUGCUAAUACCACAUAAGCGCACAGAACCGCAUGGUUCCGUGUGAAAAACUCCGGUGGUAUAAGAUGGACCCGCGUUGGAUUAGCUAGUUGGCAGGGCAGCGGCCUACCAAGGCGACGAUCCAUAGCCGGCCUGAGAGGGUGAACGGCCACAUUGGGACUGAGACACGGCCCAG
rnacentral:rRNA from 1 species